UGAUGCCGAAUCGGGCAAUCUCAUGGAAAUUAUUGUGUCCGAUGGAAAAAAAAUGUAGCAGAAGCCACACAUUUCCUAUCCCCUGAUCCGUCUGUGUAAACAGGGAUGUAAUCACGGUACCUUUCUUGGAUUUCCAUGAAAUGGGGUUAUUUAUAAAUAAAUAACUGCAUCUGUGCGAUCUUUCUUUAGAUGCACCAAAUCGAAUACACCAGGGUGGCAAAAUAAAAUAUGAGGUUUUCAGUGUAUCACGUAGUUCAUGAUUACCCUUGGGCUAUACGAUAACCAGUUGUCAACUAACCUAGGAAGGAGAAUGCGGCCCAUUAAGUUUGGACAUGUCUUAUCAGUUUCUAUCAGGAAUAUUUCUGUGAAAUACUUGCAGAUCAUUCUUUGAAAGAUUCUAUGUACCUCUGUGUCAAUAUUUGACUUCCAUUUGGCCAUGGGAGGUGAAGAAAUGUUUUUGAGGCGCGCUAUAAAGUGGCAGUCCUACUGGCGGAGUUGCAAUCGUUUACUGCCAUCAGGAUCAACUGUUCUUUGUAGUUAAAGCACCCAACAUUGACUGUCCUAAAGGAUUUCAACGAAAUCAAGAUUCCUGCUAUCUCUUCGCCGAUGAUAGUGUUGAAUCAUGGUUUGAAGCACGGAUUGCCUGUCAGACCAUGGGAGCCGAUCUCGUCGUUAUCGAUAGUCAAUCAGAAAAUAAUUUCAUAAGAUCCGUCGUAGAUGCUGGUAAUCAGAAUUUGGAGUAUUACGCCGGACUACACAAGCUGAACGACCAAAGGACGUGGAUGUGGAUUGAUCCUAACGCAGUGAUGGGUGUCCCGUCAGGACCUCCUAAUACACUAAAUCCUUUCUCAGACUGGGCCAAUGGUGAGGGUGCUGACACAGUUAGUCGACACUGUAUGGUCUUGGACUUUGUAGGCGCACAAAACACGUAUCAAUGGACGGAAGAAACUUGCCGUAGUAAUAAUCAGUACAUCUGUGAGCUUAGUCCGACCUUUCCGAAGCUGGCUUCCAGCAAGUGUUUCUAACUUUAAAAAAGUAUUUAUCCAUAGACGAUCGCUGUGGAUGCACGCUA